AACGAACGCUGGCGGCAGGCCUAACACAUGCAAGUCGAACGCUCGUAGCAAUACGGGAGUGGCAGACGGGUGAGUAACACGUGGGAACCUUCCCUAUGGUUCGGAAUAGCUCAGGGAAACUUGGGGUAAUACCGGAUAAGCCCUUCGGGGGAAAGAUUUAUCGCCAUUGGAUGGGCCCGCGUCGGAUUAGCUAGUUGGUGAGGUAACGGCUCACCAAGGCAACGAUCCGUAGCUGGUCUGAGAGGAUGAUCAGCCACACUGGGACUGAGACACGGCCCAGACUCCUACGGGAGGCAGCAGUGGGGAAUAUUGGACAAUGGGCGGCAAGCCUGAUCCAGCCAUGCCGCGUGAGUGACGAAGGUCUUCGGAUUGU
rnacentral:rRNA from 1 species